CCCUGCUGGAAAUGGGAAAAGUACUACCAAAGAAACACCUGCAGAAACUGGCAGAAGCCCUCACAGCAUAGGAGGGGAUUUCCGUGGUGGACAUGCUGACAAUUUUCCCGGUGAAUGAUGCAGAACGCGGCGGUCUUCGCUGCCGCAGUGAACCCGCCGUGGCCGUGCUGUUCUGUGCUGAGAAGCAACAGUUCAGUUCCGUUCUGGAGAUAGUUUUACUUCACUGGUAACCACGUAACUUCUCUAAGUCCCGCAGAGCCGCGACAAUCAGCAGCAGAGCGUCUUGCGAGCCGUUUGGGUUAAACAUACUCUACGUUAAUUGUGUGCCUAUGGAGAAGGAAAUCAGGAGCUGUGCCUACUUUUCGGCAUGAAAAAGGCCGCAGACCAGGAAGCAUGUCAAUGUGUUCUUUGGAAGCCCUGCCAUUCCGAAACAGACUCUUUCAGACAAGACGAAGAUGGAAUAUUGGAGAAGCAGGAAGAGACAAGACUGCUGGGCUCAAAGAGGAGCAAGAGAACCACAGAAGAGAAACAUUCUAUCCCACUUGAUGAGAAAUAUGGAACUGGGGAGCUGAACUGUUCAUACACGUGCUGUGCUUUUAUUAGAGAACUCCUGUCCCCUACCAUUGGUUCAGGAAAGUCUCUGUCCAUCCCCCGUAUCUCAUUUGCCUAUUAUCUCCCUGUUACUGACGACAAUCAAUAGUUUACAGGGGUCCUUGGGCUCCUGCUGUCUUCUUGCUCACUCUGGCUGGUGUUUUGGCUGUGGUUUGAUCGCAAGCCCCUGCUUUGGGUAUGGUUAGGAAGCAGCAGGUAGUGAGCCAAGCUUCAGACGUGUGAGCAGGCAGCAUUUUCAUCUCGAAUCUUCGAGGCCUGAUGGCAAUGGAAGAAAAUCCCUGGUAACGUCCCCACAGGAGGGCUGGAAUGAAGUGGCUGCAGGCAUCCGGGGAGGGGGGACUAAUUUUAUAAGGCGGUGGUACAGAGUUUUCCACUCCAGAGUCAUAGGUGCUGACAGGAGGGAGCCCUUGUUCUCAGCAUCUUGCCUCAGGCACAAAUGGCAAAUGGAC
rnacentral:lncRNA from 1 species